rnacentral:rRNA from 1 species
CACGUAGUUCGCCGGAGCUUCCUCCUCUGCUACCGUCAUCAUCUUCACAGAGGACAGAGGUUUACAAUCCGAAAACCGUCUUCCCUCACGCGGCGUUGCUGGUUCAGGGUUUCCCCCAUUGACCAAUAUCCCUUACUGCUGCCUCCCGUAGGAGUCUGGGCCGUGUCUCAGUCCCAAUGUGGCCGUCCAACCUCUCAGUCCGGCUACCGAUCGUCGGCUUGGUGGGCCGUUACCCCACCAACUACCUAAUCGGACGCGAGCCCAUCUUUCAGCGGAUUGCUCCUUUGAUUAUCCUACCAUGCGAUAAGAUAAUGUCAUGCGGUAUUAGCGUUCGUUUCCAAACGUUAUCCCCCUCUGAAAGGCAGGUUGCUCACGCGUUACUCACCCGUCCGCCAACUAAGAUAUCCAAGACUUUCAAUUACCGAAGUACUUCAUCAAGCGAAUACUCUUCCGUUCGACUUGCAUCGUAGUUAGGCCACGCCCGUCAGCGUUCGUCCUGACGACGACGAGUACAAACUUCUCGUACG